UUUGUUAUUUAUUGAUGAGCA
rnacentral:piRNA from 1 species